rnacentral:rRNA from 1 species
UACGUAGGGGGCAAGCGUUGUCCGGAAUCAUUGGGCGUAAAGGGCGUGUAGGCGGCCACUUAAGUCCUGCGUGAAAUCUUGCGGCUCAACCGCAAGCGGUCGUGGGAAACUGGGUGGCUAGAGUGCGGGAGAGGAGAGUGGAAUUCCUGGUGUAGCGGUGGAAUGCGCAGAUAUCAGGAAGAACACCCGUGGCGAAGGCGGCUCUCUGGAACGCAACUGACGCUGAGACGCGAAAGCGUGGGAGCAAACAGG